rnacentral:rRNA from 1 species
GUUGAACGCUGGCGGCAGGCCUAACACAUGCAAGUCGAGCGGCAGCGGGAAAGUAGCUUGCUACUUUUGCCGGCGAGCGGCGGACGGGUGAGUAAUGCCUGGGAAAUUGCCCAGUCGAGGGGGAUAACAGUUGGAAACGACUGCUAAUACCACAUACGCCCUACGGGGGAAAGCAGGGGACCUUCGGGCCUUGCGCGAUUGGAUAUGCCCAGGUGGGAUUAGCUAGUUGGUGAGGUAAUGGCUCACCAAGGCGACGAUCCCUAGCUGGUCUGAGAGGAUGAUCAGCCACACUGGAACUGAGACACGGUCCAGACUCCUACGGGAGGCAGCAGUGGGGAAUGUUGCACAAUGGGGGAAACCCUGAUGCAGCCAUGCCGCGUGUGUGAAGAAGGCCUUCGGGUUGUAAAGCACUUUCAGCGAGGAGGAAAGGUUGAUGCCUAAUACAUAUCAACUGUGACGUUACUCGCAGAAGAAGCACCGGCUAACUCCGUGCCAGCCGCCGCAGUAAAAC